GAUGAACGCUGGCGGCGUGCCUAAUACAUGCAAGUCGAGCGAACGGACGAGAAGCUUGCUUCUCUGAUGUUAGCGGCGGACGGGUGAGUAACACGUGGAUAACCUACCUAUAAGACUUGGAUAACUUCGGGAAACCGGAGCUAAUACCGGAUAAUAUUUUGAACCGCAUGGUUCAAAAGUGAAAGACGGUCUUGCUGUUACUUAUAGAUGGAUCCGCGCUGCAUUAGCUAGUUGGUAAGGUAACGGCGUACCAAGGCAACGAUGCAUAGCCGGCCUGAGAGGGUGCUCGGCCACACUGGAACUGAGACACGGUCCAGACUCCUGCGGGAGGCAGCAGUAGGGAAUCUUCCGCAAUGGGCGAAAGCCUGACGGAGCAACACCGCGUGAGUGAUGAAGGUCUACGGAUCGUAAAACUCUGUUAUUAGGGAAGAACAUAUGUGUAAGUAACUGUGCACAUCUUGACGGUACCUAAUCAGAAAGCCACGGCUAACUACGUG
rnacentral:rRNA from 1 species